rnacentral:rRNA from 1 species
GACGAACGCUGGCGGCGUGCCUAAUACAUGCAAGUAGAACGCUGAAGCGAGGAGCUUGCUCUUCUUGGGUGAGUUGCGAACGGGUGAGUAACGCGUAGGUAACCUGCCUUGUAGCGGGGGAUAACUAUUGGAAACGAUAGCUAAUACCGCAUAACAAUGGAUGACACAUGUCAUUUAUUUGAAAGGGGCAAUUGCUCCACUACAAGAUGGACCUGCGUUGUAUUAGGUAGUAGGUGAGGUAAUGGCUCACCUAAGCGAAGAUACAUUGCCGACCUGAGAGGGGGGUCGGCCAAACUGGGACUGAGACACGGCCCAGACCCCUACGGGAGGCAGCAGGAGGGAAUCUUCGGCAAUGGGGGCAAAGCCGACCGAGCAACGCCGGGUGAGUGAAGAAGGUUUUCGGAUCGUAAAGCUCUGUUGUAAGUCAAGAACGGGUGUGAGAGUGGAAAGUUCACACUGUGACGGUAGCUUACCAGAAAGGGACGGCUAACUACGUG